UACGGGGGGGGCAAGCGUUGUUCGGAAUUACUGGGCGUAAAGGGCUCGUAGGUGGCCAACUAAGUCGGACGUGAAAUCCCUCAGCUUAACUGGGGAACUGCGUCCGAUACUGGAUGGCUCGAGUUUGGGAGAGGGAUGCGGAAUUCCAGGUGUAGCGGUGAAAUGCGUAGAUAUCUGGAGGAACACCGGAGGCGAAGGCGGCAUCCUGGACCAACACUGACACUGAGGAGCGAAAGCCAGGGGAGCAAACGGG
rnacentral:rRNA from 1 species